rnacentral:rRNA from 1 species
AAGCGGCAACAGCUCAAAUUUGAAAUCUGGCUCUUUCAGGGUCCGAGUUGUAAUUUGCAGAGGGUGCUUUGGUGUUGGCGGCGGUCUAAGUUCCUUGGAACAGGACAUCGCAGAGGGUGAGAAUCCCGUAUGUGGUCGCCUGCCUUCGCCGUGUAAAGCCCCUUCGACGAGUCGAGUUGUUUGGGAAUGCAGCUCUAAAUGGGAGGUAAAUUUCUUCUAAAGCUAAAUACCGGCCAGAGACCGAUAGCGCACAAGUAGAGUGAUCGAAAGAUGAAAAGCACUUUGGAAAGAGAGUCAAACAGCACGUGAAAUUGUUAAAAGGGAAGCGCUUGCAGCCAGACUUGCCUGCAGUUGUUCGCCUGGGCUUUUGCCCGGGUUACUCUUCUGUAGGCAGGCCAGCAUCAGUUUGGGCGGUCGGAUAAAGGUCCCUGACACGUAUCUCCCUUCGGGGUUAACAUAUAGGGGGGACGUAAUGCGACCAGCCCGGACUGAGGUCCGCGCAUCUGCUAGGAUGCUGGCGUAAUGGCUGUAAGCGGCCCGUCUUGAAACACGGACCAAGGAGUCUAACAUCUAUGCGAGUGUUUGGGUGUCAAGCCCGAGCGCGUAAUGAAAGUGAACGGAGGUGGGAACCCCUCGGGGCGCACCAUCGACCGAUCCUGAUGUCUUCGGAUGGAUUUGAGUAAGAGCAUAGCUGUUGGGACCCGAAAGAUGGUGAACUAUGCUUGAAUAGGGUGAAGCCAGAGGAAACUCUGGUGGAGGCUCGCAGCGGUUCUGACGUGCAAAUCGAUCGUCAAAUUUGGGCAUAGGGGCGAAAGACUAAUC